UAUAGUUUCAGUAUCAUUCGCCGGAGCAGAUUUCAUUUCUCCUCUGCCAAACCACAACCCACAGAGAAGAACACUCCGCAACCACAACAAUGGCGGCCUCAGUGCACGCGGCGGCGGCUACGCUUAUGCAACCCUCCAAGUUGGCCGUCUCGGCAAGGAGCGCCAACUCCCAACUCAGAUCUUCUCAGACCCUUUCUAAAGCUUUUGGUCUUGAUUCCGCCGCAGCUAGAAUCACCUGCUCUCUUCACUCCGAUCUCAAAGACGUUUCUCGGAAGUUCGCUGAUGCCGCUAAGAUUGCCGGCUUCGCUCUUGCCACUUCCGCUCUUGUCGUUUCGGGAGCAGGUGCUGAAGGAGUGCCAAAGAGACUCACCUUUGAUGAGAUUCAGAGCAAGACAUACCUUGAAGUUAAGGGAACUGGAACAGCUAACCAAUGCCCAACCAUUGAUGGAGGAGUUGAGUCAUUUGCCUUCAAGCCAGGCAAAUAUCAAGCCAAGAAGUUCUGUCUUGAGCCAACUUCUUUCACUGUCAAAGCUGAGGGAGUGAACAAGAACUCUCCACCAGAAUUCCAAAACACCAAGCUCAUGACUCGUUUAACUUACACACUGGACGAGAUUGAAGGACCCUUUGAAGUGGGUGCUGAUGGUUCAAUCAAGUUUGAGGAGAAAGAUGGAAUUGACUAUGCUGCUGUCACAGUCCAGUUGCCUGGAGGCGAGCGCG
rnacentral:misc_RNA from 1 species